GGUGUGACUGCGUACCUUUUGUAUAAUGGGUCAGCGACUUAUAUUCUGUAGCAAGGUUAACCGAAUAGGGGAGCCGGAGGGAAACCGAGUCUUAAUUGGGCGUUAAGUUGCAGGGUAUAGACCCGAAACCCGGUGAUCUAGCCAUGGGCAGGUUGAAGGUUGGGUAACACUAACUGGAGGACCGAACCGACUAAUGUUGAAAAAUUAGCGGAUGACCUGUGGCUGGGGGUGAAAGGCCAAUCAAACCGGGAGAUAGCUGGUUCUCCCCGAAAGCUAUUUAGGUAGCGCCUCGUGAAUUCAUCUCCGGGGGUAGAGCACUGUUUCGGCUAGGGGGCCAUCCCGGCUUACCAACCCGAUGCAAACUGCGAAUACCGGAGAAUGUUAUCACGGGAGACACACGGCGGGUGCUAACGUCCGUCGUGAAGAGGGAAACAACCCAGACCGCCAGCUAAGGUCCCAAAGUCAUGGUUAAGUGGGAAACGAUGUGGGAAGGCCCAGACAGCCAGGAUGUUGGCUUAGAAGCAGCCAUCAUUUAAAGAAAGCGUAAUAGCUCACUGGUCGAGUCGGCCUGCGCGGAAGAUGUAACGGGGCUAAACCAUGCACCGAAGCUGCGGCAGCGACGCUGAUGCGUUGUUGGGUAGGGGAGCGUUCUGUAAGCCUGCGAAGGUGGCCUGUGAGGGUUGCUGGAGGUAUCAGAAGUGCGAAUGCUGACAUAAGUAACGAUAAAGCGGGUGAAAAGCCCGCUCGCCGGAAGACCAAGGGUUCCUGUCCAACGUUAAUCGGGGCAGGGUGAGUCGACCCCUAAGGCGAGGCCGAAAGGCGUAGUCGAUGGGAAACGGGUUAAUAUUCCCGUACUUGGUGUUACUGCGAAGGGGGGACGGAGAAGGCUAUGUUGGCCGGGCGACGGUU
rnacentral:rRNA from 1 species